CUGACCAGAAGUGAUGAGUUGUUUGGUUACCGCCCCAGUCUGAUUAAGAUGACUGAUUGGUAUCCCUCUGAUUCUG
ensembl:snoRNA SNORD31 Small nucleolar RNA SNORD31